UACGAAGGGGGCUAGCGUUGCUCGGAAUUACUGGGCGUAAAGCGCACGUAGGCGGCUUUGUAAGUUAGAGGUGAAAGCCCGGGGCUCAACUCCGGAAUUGCCUUUAAGACUGCAUCGCUAGAACGUCGGAGAGGUAAGUGGAAUUCCGAGUGUAGAGGUGAAAUUCGUAGAUAUUCGGAAGAACACCAGUGGCGAAGGCGACUUACUGGACGACUGUUGACGCUGAGGUGCGAAAGCGUGGGGAGCAAACAGG
rnacentral:rRNA from 1 species